rnacentral:rRNA from 1 species
AUACGGAGGGUCCAAGCGUUAUUCGGAAUCAUUGGGUUUAAAGGGUUCGCAGGCGGUCAAUUAAGUCAGAGGUGAAAGCCCAUCGCUCAACGAUGGAACUGCCUUUGAUACUGGUUGACUUGAGUUAUACGGAAGUAGAUAGAAUAAGUAGUGUAGCGGUGAAAUGCAUAGAUAUUACUUAGAAUACCGAUUGCGAAGGCAGUCUACUACGUAUAUACUGACGCUGAGGGACGAAAGCGUGGGGAGCGAACAGGAUUAGAAACCCUAGUAGUCC